AAAUUGAAGAGUUUGAUCAUGGCUCAGAUUGAACGCUGGCGGCAGGCCUAACACAUGCAAGUCGAACGGUAACAGGAAGCAGCUUGCUGCUUUGCUGACGAGUGGCGGACGGGUGAGUAAUGUCUGGGAAACUGCCUGAUGGAGGGGGAUAACUACUGGAAACGGUGGCUAAUACCGCAUAACGUCGCAAGACCAAAGAGGGGGACCUUCGGGCCUCUUGCCAUCAGAUGUGCCCAGAUGGGAUUAGCUUGUUGGUGAGGUAACGGCUCACCAAGGCGACGAUCCCUAGCUGGUCUGAGAGGAUGACCAGCCACACUGGAACUGAGACACGGUCCAGACUCCUACGGGAGGCAGCAGUGGGGAAUAUUGCACAAUGGGCGCAAGCCUGAUGCAGCCAUGCCGCGUGUAUGAAGAAGGCCUUCGGGUUGUAAAGUACUUUCAGCGGGGAGGAAGGUGUUGUGGUUAAUAACCACAGCAAUUGACGUUACCCGCAGAAGAAGCACCGGCUAACUCCGUGCCAGCAGCCGCGGUAAUACGGAGGGUGCAAGCGUUAAUCGGAAUUACUGGGCGUAAAGCGCACGCAGGCGGUCUGUCAAGUCGGAUGUGAAAUCCCCGGGCUCAACCUGGGAACUGCAUUCGAAACUGGCAGGCUUGAGUCUUGUAGAGGGGGGUAGAAUUCCAGGUGUAGCGGUGAAAUGCGUAGAGAUCUGGAGGAAUACCGGUGGCGAAGGCGGCCUCCUGGACAAAGACUGACGCUCAGGUGCGAAAGCGUGGGGAGCAAACAGGAUUAGAUACCCUGGUAGUCCACGCCGUAAACGAUGUCUACUUGGAGGUUGUGCCCUUGAGGCGUGGCUUCCGGAGCUAACGCGUUAAGUAGACCGCCUGGGGAGUACGGCCGCAAGGUUAAAACUCAAAUGAAUUGACGGGGGCCCGCACAAGCGGUGGAGCAUGUGGUUUAAUUCGAUGCAACGCGAAGAACCUUACCUGGUCUUGACAUCCACAGAACUUUCCAGAGAUGGAUUGGUGCCUUCGGGAACUGUGAGACAGGUGCUGCAUGGCUGUCGUCAGCUCGUGUUGUGAAAUGUUGGGUUAAGUCCCGCAACGAGCGCAACCCUUAUCCUUUGUUGCCAGCGAUUAGGUCGGGAACUCAAAGGAGACUGCCAGUGAUAAACUGGAGGAAGGUGGGGAUGACGUCAAGUCAUCAUGGCCCUUACGACCAGGGCUACACACGUGCUACAAUGGCGCAUACAAAGAGAAGCGACCUCGCGAGAGCAAGCGGACCUCAUAAAGUGCGUCGUAGUCCGGAUUGGAGUCUGCAACUCGACUCCAUGAAGUCGGAAUCGCUAGUAAUCGUGGAUCAGAAUGCCACGGUGAAUACGUUCCCGGGCCUUGUACACACCGCCCGUCACACCAUGGGAGUGGGUUGCAAAAGAAGUAGGUAGCUUAACCUUCGGGAGGGCGCUUACCACUUUGUGAUUCAUGACUGGGGUGAAGUCGUAACAAGGUAACCGUAGGGGAACCUGCGGUUGGAUCACCUCCUUA
rnacentral:rRNA from 1 species